GUGUGUUGUAGUUGUGGCACACGCACAAAUACAUGUCGAUGUGUGACUAGACAAGGUAGCAUUUGUAUUCCUGACAACAGCAGGCUGGCCUAACUAUGGUGGUGAUUCGGCAGAGCAAAGGGGACACUGGCGAGUAGGCAGCAAGAGACAGAGAGCCAAUGGGAGAAGGUGUGGAGAAGGCGACAAUGACAGGGCAUCAUUGGCUUCUCGGUAGGCGAGGUUGACGGCGGUAAGGCGGUGGGUUGACUACUUCAAUUUGGAUUAGGGCAAGGUGGAGCAUUGAGGUGGCUGAUGGCAGCAUGGCCUGCAAUCGGGUGCCGCUAAGCGGCAACCGGGGGUGGAUGAAGGUAUAAGCACCACUAAAUAUUGCAGUGCACACAUCAGAAGUAUGUCUUGAUAUGACUAGUAAAUAUACAUGUGUGUUACAACAAAAUUUAUAUUUUUUCCUCAUUUAUUAAAAUAUAUUUUGGAAUCAUAUUCAGCAGUGUGGUUAGACAUAUGCAAUUCUAACUCAUAAAGGUAAAUGUAGUAAGAUCACAUUGCGGGCAAGGCAAUAAAUCCACUAGGACUAUAAUAAUCUUUAAUUCAUCUACUAUUUCUCUUCGUAAAACUGGCUAGGAUUCUUGUGCUCCAGUGAGUGGAGACACACGAGAACAUGAAGAGAAGAUGGACCAAAAUAUGAAGGAAGAAGUUUUUGCUCUUUAAUUUCUAUUUAUUACAUUGAUUUUGUAUGUCACACUUUUUUAUCGAAAUUUAGCUACUAGCUAAAUGGUCUCAUAAAUUAAUUUUGAUUCAUUAUUGAAAUAUUUUUCAGGCCCAUGUGUUGUAAUAAUACAUACAACUUAUUACGUUGUGGUUUGAAGAUUUAUGCAACAAUCAAGCUACUAGUUGUGUUUCUGACA
rnacentral:lncRNA from 1 species